rnacentral:rRNA from 1 species
CGUCUCUCCGAGACGUACCCUGAGUAGGGCGGGACACGUGAAACCCCGUCUGAAUCCGGGAGGACCAUCUCCCAAGGCUAAAUACUACCUGGCGACCGAUAGUGAACCAGUACCGUGAGGGAAAGGUGAAAAGCACCCCGGGAGGGGAGUGAAAGAGAUCCUGAAACCGUGUGCCUACAAUUAGUCGGAGCACAAUCAAUGUGUGACGGCGUGCCUUUUGUAGAAUGAACCGGCGAGUUACGGUUGCGUGCAAGGUUAAGUCUGAGAAGACGGAGCCGCAGCGAAAGCGAGUCUGAAUAGGGCGAAUGAGUACGUAGCCGUAGACCCGAAACCGUGUGAUCUACCCAUGUCCAGGGUGAAGGUGCGGUAACACGCACUGGAGGCCCGAACCCACGUACGUUGAAAAGUGCGGGGAUGAGGUGUGGGUAGCGGAGAAAUUCCAAUCGAACUCGGAGAUAGCUGGUUCUCCCCGAAAUAGCUUUAGGGCUAGCCUCGGAUUCCUGUACCGGAGGUAGAGCACUGAUUGGAUGCGGGCCCCUCGCGGGGUACCAAAUUCAGUCAAACUCCGAAUGCCGGAUACAGCAGGUCCGGGAGUCAGACUGCGAGUGCUAAGAUCCGUAGUCAAAAGGGAAACAGCCCAGAUCACCAGCUAAGGUCCCUAAAUGUACGCUAAGUGGGAAACGAUGUGGAGUUGCCCAGACAACCAGGAUGUUGGCUUAGAAGCAGCCACCAUUUAAAGAGUGCGUAAUAGCUCACUGGUCGAGUGACUCUGCGCGGAAAAUGUAACGGGGCUAAGCGUACUACCGAAGCUGUGGAUUGACACCAACGGUGUCAGUGGUAGGGGAGCGUUCCUGCAGCAGUGAAGUCAGACCGGAAGGACUGGUGGAGCGGCAGGAAGUGAGAAUGCCGGUGUAAGUAGCGAAAAGAGAGGUGAGAAUCCUCUCCGCCGAAAGCCUAAGGGUUCCUGGGGAAGGCUCGUCCUCCCAGGGUUAGUCGGGACCUAAGCCGAGGCUGAAAAGCGUAGGCGAUGGACAACAGGU